GGUGGCUGGGUAGGUACCCAAAUAUCCUUGAUUUAUAAUUUUCCAUUAGGAACUCACACAGAUAUUUCUGUACCUACAGGACUUGU
rnacentral:pre_miRNA from 1 species